rnacentral:lncRNA from 1 species
AGCUAAGUUCUUAAGUCUAUGGUCAUAUCAGUAUGAUUAAUAAAAAAAUUUAUUAGAAUCACAUAUGGACUCGAGCUAAUUGAAUCUAUCAUAUGAUCGAUGAUGAGAUUUGACGAUUCAUCCAUGACUUGCCAUCUGGUCGGGACUUACGAUAGAGGGACUGUAUCAUACGUUAACUGCACCUAGAGGUUCAUCACUUUUUAUUCUGUUGAAUUAUCACUAUAUAUUGCUAGAUGUCACAGA